rnacentral:lncRNA from 1 species
UAGGAUUUGUAGUAUCCUCAGGAAGCCAGCUUAGAGUGCCACCUGGUAAAGCUCGGAGGAUCUACCAAAACACAAACAUACAAACCUGGACCCCGGCAAGAUUAGAGGGAUGAAUUGAGAAACCCGAAAGACUGAACAUUUCUAUGGGAUUUGGAAACCAGCUUCCUGCAUAGAGAAUCUAUCAGCAGUUUGACUCAGCUUCACUUUUUGCCCAAGGAACACUCCUGCACCUUCAACCUGAAAGCUAAAGCAGCUAACACCCUGGGGCAACUCUUGACCAGUGAAGAAGCAGCCUGUGAUCAGCUAGUGCAAGGAGCACUUUAUAGCUAUUCUCAGAAGAUCCUGGAAGAUUUAGCUCAGUUGCUCACAAUAGUGAUUGACUCGAUUAUAUUCCUAAACUGGCUCUGCCUCCUGCUUCACUGUUCUCUGCCCUCACUCCUGCUCUGGGAUCACUUCCCAAAUCAAUCUCCUCCUCAAAAGUCCUCGUCUCAGCCACGCGAUGGUGUACGGUGCAGGGAGAGGCACUGAAACUGAAGGCGGAGGAGGAUUCCCAGAAGAAGACAACUAACCCCCACAGA